CCCUUAGAUGUUCGGGGCCGCACGCGCGCUACACUGAAGGAAUCAGCACGUCUUUCUCCUUGUCCGAAAGGACUGGGUAACCCGCUGAACCUCCUUCGUGCUAGGGAUUGGGGCUUGUAAUUCUUCCCCAUGAACGAGGAAUUCCCAGUAAGCGCGAGUCAUAAGCUCGCGUUGAUUACGUCCCUGCCCUUUGUACACACCGCCCGUCGCUACUACCGAUUGGAUGGUUUAGUGAGAUCCUCGGAUUGGUCCCGGCGCGGCCUCUGGUCGUGCCGGAGUGCCGAAAAGAAUGUCGAACUUGAUCAUCUAGAGGAAGUAAAAGUCGCAACA
rnacentral:rRNA from 1 species